rnacentral:rRNA from 1 species
UUUGAUCCUGGCUCAGAACGUACGCUGGCGGCACGCCUAACACAUGCAAGUCGAACGAAGUAGCAAUACUUAGUGGCAGACGGGUGAGUAACAUGUGGGUAUCUACCCUUUGGCCUGGAAUAACACGAGGAAACUUGUGCUAAUACCGGAUAAGUCUUUACGGAGAAAGCUUUAUGCACCAUUGGAUGAGCCCGCACUUGAUUAGUUUGUUGGUGGGGUAAUGGCCUACCAAGACUAUGAUCAAUAGCUGAUUUGAGAGGAUGAUCAGCCACAUUGGAACUGAGACACGGCCCAAACUCCUACGGGAGGCAGCAGUGGGGAAUCUUGCACAAUGGAGGAAACUCUGAUGCAGCGAUGCCGCGUGAGUGAAGAAGGCCCUUGGGUUGUAAAGCUCUUUCGUCGGGGAAGAAAAUGACUGUACCCGAAUAAGAAGGUCCGGCUAACUUCGUGCCAGCAGCCGCGGUAAUA